rnacentral:lncRNA from 10 species
GUACUUUCUUUCUGCCCUGCUUUAUUAUUCUCCAUAGAACACACCCUGGCAUAUGGUAGGCCCUCCAUUGAUGUUUAUUGGAUGUGAAUAAAUGAAUGUGUCAUCAAGAGGAUUUGCGAUGCCCCGCUCGUCAUGGAGAUGUUAGGACUCUAAUAUCCAGUUUCAACUUUCCAACUGGCUUCUUGGAAACUUGUGGCUCCUUCUUAAAAACUGGAGGCAAGUAAGAUCCUAGCCAAAACCAGAGGCCCAAGAGUGAG